UUACCACUUCCUCUGAAGAAGCUGCUGUGGUCUUUUGUCUCUUGCUCUUUGGAGAAGUUUCGAUCUCAGUCUCAGACUCGAGCAGAGCACUAGAAGAUGAUGACUUCUGAGACACCAGCCUCGUCCUUUCUUCUCUUUUUUUUGAGCUUACAACAACUUCAUCCGAUGGUGUAACUGGGGGGAACUCGGUUACGCUAUCUAAGCUCUCAAAAAUAGCGAAGAGAUCGUCUCCGUCCAAGUUAGUGUCGGCAAAUUCAGGUUCUUCCAAAAAAUCAGAAAAACUGUCACUCAUUGUAAACCUCUUCUCUUUCUUUGUUUGUUUUAUUUUCCUGGGUGAUAGAAAAGUGCAGGUUAAUGGGAGGGGAAGGGAUCGGUGAAGUGGGAAAAAGACCCUGAUGAUGUACCAAAAAAAGUAAGAAAUUGUCAAGAUAAAGAAAAAAAAUUCCAAAAUAAGUAUAUAAGAGCUGGUUUGACGUGGUCUAAGCUAUCACCAUCAACUCUUUCCUAAGGGUGUUUCACAUGAAGUUAGGUUGAACUUUGCCAUUAGUUGCUGGGAAACUUUCGAGUAUUCAGGGAGGCAGUGAGCACUGAAAACCAAGGUGAUAG
rnacentral:misc_RNA from 1 species